UACGUAGGGGGCAAGCGUUAUCCGGAUUUACUGGGUGUAAAGGGAGCGUAGGUGGUUCGGUAAGUCAGAUGUGAAAACCCGGGGCUCAACCCCGGGACUGCAUUUGAAACUAUCGGACUAGAGUGCAGGAGAGGUAAGUGGAAUUCCUAGUGUAGCGGUGAAAUGCGUAGAUAUUAGGAGGAACACCAGUGGCGAAGGCGGCUUACUGGACUGUAACUGACACUGAGGCUCGAAAGCGUGGGGAGCAAACAGGAUUAGAUACC
rnacentral:rRNA from 1 species